rnacentral:rRNA from 1 species
GAUGAACGCUGGCGGCGUGCCUAAUACAUGCAAGUCGAGCGAACAGACGAGGAGCUUGCUCCUCUGACGUUAACGGCGGACGGGUGAGUAACACGUGUAUAACCUACCUAGGAGACAGGGAUAACUUCGGGAAACCGUAGCUGAUACCGGAUAAUAUAUUGAAACGCGUUUUUUAAUGGUAAAAGACGUUUUUGCUGGCACUUAUAGUUGGAUCCGCGCCGCUUUAACUAGUUGGUAGGGGAAGGGCUUACCAAGGCAACGAUGCGUAGCCGACUGGAGAGGGUGAUAGGCAACCCUGGACCGGAGACACGGUCAAGACUCCUCAGGGAGGCAGCAGUAGGGAACCUUCGGCAAGGGGGGAAAGCCUGACGGAGCAAGGCGGGGUGAGUGAUGAAGGCCUUCGGAUCGUAAACCCCUGUUAUUGGGGAAGAAAAAAUGUGUAAGUAAAUAUGCACGUAUUGACGGUACCUAAUCAGAAAGCAACGGCUAACUACGUG